CUACGGGAGGCUCCAGUGGGGAAUAUUGCGCAAUGGGGGAAACCCUGACGCAGCAACGCCGCGUGAAGGACGAAGGUUUUCGGAUCGUAAACUUCUUUGAUUGGGGAAGAAUAAAUGACGGUACCCAAAAAACAAGCCACGGCUAACUACGUGCCAGCAGCCGCGGUAAUACGUAGGUGGCAAGCGUUGUCCGGAUUUACUGGGUGUAAAGGGCGUGUAGGCGGGGAGGCAAGUCAGAUGUGAAAUACCACGGCUCAACCGUGGGGGUGCAUCUGAAACUGCUUCUCUUGAGUGCUGGAGAGGAAAGCGGAAUUCCUAGUGUAGCGGUGAAAUGCGUAGAUAUUAGGAGGAACACCAGUGGCGAAGGCGGCUUUCUGGACAGUAACUGACGCUGAGGCGCGAAAGCGUGGGGAGCAAACAGGAUUAGAUACCCCGGUAGUC
rnacentral:rRNA from 1 species